CGCCUAACACAUGCAAGUCGAACGAAGUAGCAAUACUUAGUGGCAGACGGGUGAGUAACAUGUAGGUAUCUACCCUUUGGCCUGGAAUAACACGAGGAAACUUGUGCUAAUACCGGAUAAGUCUUUACGGAGAAAGCUUUAUGCACCAUUGGAUGAGCCUGCACUUGAUUAGUUUGUUGGUGGGGUAAUGGCCUACCAAGACUGUGAUCAAUAGCUGAUUUGAGAGGAUGAUCAGCCACAUUGGGACUGAGACACGGCCCAAACUCCUACGGGAGGCAGCAGUGGGGAAUCUUGCACAAUGGAGGAAACUCUGAUGCAGCGAUGCCGCGUGAGUGAAGAAGGCCUUUGGGUUGUAAAGCUCUUUCGUCGGGGAAGAAAAUGACUGUACCCGAAUAAGAAGGUCCGGCUAACUUCGUGCCAGCAGCCGCGGUAAUACGAAGGGACCUAGCGUAGUUCGGAAUUACUGGGCUUAAAGAGUUCGUAGGUGGUUGAAAAAGUUAGUGGUGAAAUCCCAGAGCUUAACUCUGGAACUGCCAUUAAAACUUUUCAGCUAGAGUAUGAUAGAGGAAAGCAGAAUUUCUAGUGUAGAGGUGAAAUUCGUAGAUAUUAGAAAGAAUACCAAUUGCGAAGGCAGCUUUCUGGAUCAUAACUGACACUGAGGAACGAAAGCAUGGGUAGCGAAGAGGAUUAGAUACCCUCGUAGUCCAUGCCGUAAACGAUGUGUGUUAGACGUUGGAAAUUUAUUUUCAGUGUCGCAGCGAAAGCGAUAAACACACCGCCUGGGGAGUACGACCGC
rnacentral:rRNA from 1 species